rnacentral:rRNA from 1 species
GACGGGGAUCUUUACCUGAGUUUGCGGCUCCCAACCCAUUGUUGAACGUUACCAAACUGUUGCCUCGGCGGGGUCACGCCCCGGGUGCGUCGCAGCCCCGGAACCAGGCGCCCGCCGGAGGAACCAACCAAACUCUUUCUGUAGUCCCCUCGCGGACGUAUUUCUUACAGCUCUGAGCAAAAAUUCAAAAUGAAUCAAAACUUUCAACAACGGAUCUCUUGGUUCUGGCAUCGAUGAAGAACGCAGCGAAAUGCGAUAAGUAAUGUGAAUUGCAGAAUUCAGUGAAUCAUCGAAUCUUUGAACGCACAUUGCGCCCGCCAGUAUUCUGGCGGGCAUGCCUGUCCGAGCGUCAUUUCAACCCUCGAACCCCUCCGGGGGAUCGGCGUUGGGGAUCGGGACCCCUCACACGGGUGCCGGCCCCGAAAUACAGUGGCGGUCUCGCCGCAGCCUCUCCUGCGCAGUAGUUUGCACAACUCGCACCGGGAGCGCGGCGCGUCCACGUCCGUAAAACACCCAACUUUCUGAAAUGUUGACCUCGGAUCAGGUAGGAAUACCCGCUGAACUUAAGCAUAUCAAUAAGCGGAGGAA